GAUGAACGCUAGCGAUAGGCUUAACACAUGCAAGUCGAGGGGCAGCAUGGUCUUAGCUUGCUAAGGCUGAUGGCGACCGGCGCACGGGUGCGUAACGCGUAUGCAACUUGCCUCACAGAGGGGGAUAACCCGUCGAAAGACGGACUAAUACCGCGUACACUCUAUGUUGGGCAUCCAAUGUAGAGGAAAUGAAAUUCGCUGUGAGAUAGGCAUGCGUCCCAUUAGCUAGUUGGUGAGGUAACGGCUCACCAAGGCGACGAUGGGUAGGGGAACUGAGAGGUUGAACCCCCACACUGGUACUGAGACACGGACCAGACGCCUACGGGAGGCAGCAGUGAGGAAUAUUGGUCAAUGGGCGAGAGCCUGAACCAGCCAAGUCGCGUGAAGGAUGACUGUCUUAUGGAUUGUAAACUUCUUUUAUACGGGAAUAACAAGAGUCACGUGUGGCUCCCUGCAUGUACCGUAUGAAUAAGCAUCGGCUAACUCCGUG
rnacentral:rRNA from 1 species